UACGUAGGGUGCAAGCGUUAAUCGGAAUUACUGGGCGUAAAGCGUGCGUAGACGGUUAUUUAAGUCGGGUGUGAAAGCCCCGGGCUCAACCUGGGAAUUGCAUUCGAGACUGAGUAGCUAGGGUACGGUAGAGGGAAGUGGAAUUUCCGGUGUAGCGGUGAAAUGCGUAGAUAUCGGAAGGAACAUCAGUGGCGAAAGCGACUUCCUGGACCAGUACCGACGUUCAGGCACGAAAGCGUGGGGAGCAAACAGG
rnacentral:rRNA from 1 species